UACGGAGGGUGCGAGCGUUGUCCGGAAUCAUUGGGCGUAAAGGGCGCGUAGGUGGCGGGACAAGCGUGCGGUGAAAGCUCGGGGCUCAACCCCGCGUCGGCCGUGCGAACUGUUUUGCUUGAGCACUGUAGAGGCAGGCGGAAUUCCGGGUGUAGCGGUGGAAUGCGUAGAGAUCCGGAAGAACACCGGUGGCGAAGGCGGCCUGCUGGGCAGUAGCUGACACUGAGGCGCGAAAGCGUGGGGAGCAAACAGG
rnacentral:rRNA from 1 species